GCUUGACAUCAUGGGAAAAUCUAAAGAAAAUCAGCCAAGACCUCAGAAAAAAAGGCCCUGGUGUGCUUUAGGACCAUGCGGACGCCUCAGAGUGAUCGGCAGGCUGUUUUCCCUGAUUUCAGUCGGCUGGAUUUAGGAUGCCAUGGACACCACAGGACCAGCAUGGGAGAGAUAAACAGAGGCAGGAUCAGGUGGUGACAGGAGUCUCAUCAGGGUCAGGCAACCAGGGAAGACCAGUCUGUGACAGCGCAGAGGAGAACUUUUGCAGAUACAACACUUGAUUCUCUCUGUGCAGCAAACACUGGACAAGCAAGAAGCUUCAAAGAUUCAAAAUAUUUUAAGGCAGUCUGCCAAACCUCUAAAGUUGAUUACCAAACUGUGUCAAGGGUUGAUAUAGUAUUUUCCCAAUGACACAAAAUAUGUAAAACAAAAAUGUAAGGAAGAGCUGGGAGAUAUUAUUGAUGAUGAAUGGAUACAGAUAUGUUAAAUGCCCAGUCAUGUUUAUGUAAUCUCACACACAAAUCACUGCAUUUUAAGACAAUCUGUAGAAUGUACUAUAUGCCAAUGAAACUUAAUUUCAGGCUCUCAGAAAUGUAAUUAUUCUGCUGGAGGUGUAAACCACAAAAGGGGACAUAUUUCUAUAUGGUAUGGCUGGCUGAAUUCUGGCAAAGAGUAUGUGCUUUUAUCUCAAAAUGUCUACACCUCCCUUUUCCCUGUUUUUGUUUGGUUGGAAAUGUUGAUACUGGAGACUGUUAUCAGAAGAAACUGUAACCUAGCAUUUAUAAUGGCUAAAAAAUGCAUUGCCAUUUAUUGGAAGAUUGGUUAUCCUCCCACAAUGGAUGGAAGAAAUAUAAAGUUAUGUAUCACUGGAUGCCUGAUAUGGAAUACUGUACAACAAAAAGAGUCUGUAUUGAAAACAUGCCCAGGUCAGGGGAGAUAACUAUUUAGGCAAUCCCUAGCUGCUGGGCUGCUCAGUCCUGGCCCUAUGGGUCUGUUGUCCUGUUGGUUGUCACUCUGGCCUUGGCCUAACACACCUGAAACCAAUAAUGAAAGUUUCACUAAGAUCCAAAAGCUGAGUGGGGUGUGUUGGGUUGGGGUGCUGCAGUGCCAUGGACCCCUAGGGGCAGGACGAGGUGACCCAGCUAUAUUGUGUGCAAGUAAAAAGAGCUCUACAGUACUAUUAGGCCUAUGAUAUGAAUUAUAUGAAGGGUGUACUGUUUCUGUGUGUUAAUGUGUAUGUGUGUUUUUAUUAAACUUUUGUUUUUCCAAA